rnacentral:rRNA from 1 species
GGGUGGUAAUGCCGGAUGCUCCAGUUGAUCGCAUGGUCUUCUGGGAAAGCUUUCGCGGUAUGGGAUGGGGUCGCGUCCUAUCAGCUUGACGGCGGGGCAACGGCCCACCGUGGCUUCGACGGGUAGCCGGCCUGAGAGGGCGACCGGCCACAUUGGGACUGAGAUACGGCCCAGACUCCUACGGGAGGCAGCAGUGGGGAAUAUUGCACAAUGGGCGCAAGCCUGAUGCAGCGACGCCGCGUGAGGGAUGGAGGCCUUCGGGUUGUAAACCUCUUUUAUCGGGGAGCAAGCGUGAGUGAGUUUACCCGUUGAAUAAGCACCGGCUAACUACGUGCCAGCAGCCGCGGUAAU